AAAAACGUAGAGAGAGAAAAAGAACAGAAAUCGAGGCAGCCUUAGCCGAUAGAGGUCGUGUCAGCUUUGACCGAACAUUAACACACAGUCCAACUGUUUGCCUUCUCUCUUUCUUCUUUUUUCUUUUCAAUUUCUUUGCGAAUUUUUGGAUCUGCUUUCUUUUUCAAGCCCUAAUUUUUCUCUCUUUGGAUCCUUCCAAUUGAACAGUGAGUACUCAAAGGGUUCAUUUAAGGCGCAAAGUAGAGGAGACUGACACAUAGCACAGGGUUUCCAUAUAUUGAUUGCUUUGUGGUGGUGUUUCUAUGGCGUUUGCGGCUUCAAAUCUUCCAUCUGCUGAACAACAAACAGGUGUCAUAGAUGAUUCUUUGUAUCGGGAACUAUGGCAUGCCUGUGCUGGACCACUUGUCACACUUCCUCGUGAUGGGGAGCGUGUUUAUUACUUUCCACAAGGUCACAUGGAACAGCUUGAGGCAUCAAUGCAUCAGGGGUUAGAACAUCAAAUGCCUUCAUUCAAUCUGCCAUCUAAAAUACUUUGCAAAGUGGCAUCCGUUCAGCUUAAGGCUGAACCUGAUACAGAUGAAGUUUAUGGGCAAAUAACUCUAGUACCUGAAGCAGAUCAAAGUGAGGUUACAAGCCCGGAUGACCCACUUCCAGCACCAGAAAGGUGCAUAGUCCAUUCAUUUUGCAAGACUCUUACUGCUUCUGACACAAGCACCCAUGGUGGAUUCUCAGUUUUGCGUCGGCAUGCUGAUGAUUGUCUGCCCCCACUGGAUAUGACCCAGCAGCCACCUUGGCAGGAAUUGGUUGCAACUGAUCUGCAUGGCAAUGAGUGGCAUUUUCGGCAUAUUUUUCGAGGGCAACCUAGGCGCCAUUUACUCACUACUGGGUGGAGUGUCUUUGUUAGUUCCAAAAAAUUAGUAGCUGGUGAUGCAUUCAUAUUCCUGAGGGGUGCAAAUGGGGAGCUGCGUGUUGGAGUGAGGAGGCUUAUGAGACAACAGGCAAACAUGCCAUCUUCUGUUAUAUCUAGUCAUAGCAUGCAUCUCGGGGUGCUUGCCACUGCAUCUCAUGCCAUUGCUACCCGAAGUAUGUUUUCUGUCUUCUACAAGCCCAGAACAAGUCGGUCUGAGUUCAUUGUGAGUGUAAAUAAAUAUCUUGAAGCUCGAAACAGUAAGCUAUCUGUUGGGAUGAGGUUCAAAAUGAGAUUUGAGGGUGAAGAGGUUCCUGAAAGAAGAUUCAGUGGCACAAUUGUUGGCGUUGGGGAUAAUAAAUCAACUGGAUGGGCUGAUUCUGAGUGGAGAUCUCUAAAGGUUCAAUGGGAUGAACCUUCAUCAAUCCUGCGUCCUGAUAGGGUGUCCCCAUGGGAAUUGGAGCUACUUGUCGCAACUAAUACAUCUUCAAACUCCCCACCUGCUCAAAGGAACAAGCGGGCUCGACCUUCUGUUCUACCUUCAUCAUCUUCAGAUCUUUCUUCACUUGUAGGUAUGCGGAAAUCACCGGUUGAGUCUUCUGCUUUCUCAUAUUGUGAAGCACAACGUGGACAGCCAUCACCUAAAUUCUCCUCUGCUGGAAAGCCUAACUCUGUUAGCUUCAGUGGGAAUGGUUCACUGGCAGCAGCUUCUAGCAACUUAACAUAUUGGUCUAACCGAGUGGAGAGUGUUAGAGAAUCUUUUGCACCAGUUGUUAGCAAAGAAUCUUAUGAAAGAAAGCAGGGCACUGGGAAUGGCUGCAGGCUGUUUGGUAUUCAGUUACUUGACAAUGUGAACAUGGAAGAAAAUUCCCCUGUGGCUACAGUUUCUGGGACUGGGGGAGAUGACCGGCCUGUUCCGUCACUAGAUGCUGACUCUGACCAGCACUCUGAUCCGUCAAAUCUUAACCGGUCUGAUCUUCCUUCUAUAAGUUGUGAUCCUGAGAAGUCAUGCAUGAGAUCUCCUCAGGAGUGGCAGAGCAAGCAAAUUCGUAGCUGCACAAAGGUUCAUAUGCAAGGUAUGGCAGUUGGAAGGGCCGUUGAUUUGACGCGAUUUGAUUGUUUCAAGGACUUGCUAGCGAAGCUGGAGGAGAUGUUUGACAUCAGAGGUCAGCUUUGUGGAUCUGCUAAAAAUUGGCAGGUUGUCUAUACUGAUGAUGAAGAAGACAUGAUGAUGGUUGGGGAUGAUCCCUGGAAUGAGUUUUGCAACAUGGUGAGGAAAAUUUUUAUCUAUACAUCAGAUGAAGUCAAAAAGCUAUCACCCAAGAUAAAACUUCCGGUCAAUGAUGAUAUCAUACCACCGAAGCCUGGUGGUGACGCAGUUGUCAACCCUGAUGACCGUUCAUCAGUUGUUGGUCCUGGGUGCUAAGGUACCUGGGCCUUCAUACAACGCAGGAAAAUAGUGCUUUGAUAAAAGAGGUUGAGAAAAAUGGAACAUAAUGCUCAAGAUUUUGUCUAUAUCUGGAUUUACCCAGAUGAUAUACCACCAUUGACAUGGCCAUUCCGAAAUGGCUUAGUAUGGCAUCCAUAUCUAGGAGCUUGCUGCUCUGUCAACAAAUUCAUCUGGAGAGUGAGGCGUGCCUCAAAGAUAUGCCUAAUAAAGUAGGAUUUAUGUCAAACAACUUGGUGUUUUCAAGCAGGGUAUGUUCAUUUGCUUGCUGACCCAAGAUGCUGCUCUAUGGCCUGCUUAUUGUGCAGGCAGCUGUAAGAGGAAGAUCCGCUGGGUUUUUUUGGCUGUGUUAUCGAUCCGAUCCGAUAUUUCUAUCCAUUUUCUCACGUUAAUCCGAUGAAUUGAAGAAGUUCAUAGGUAAUCAUGAAGCCGCCAAUUUUCUUACGUUUUACGACUUUUAAGAGACCUAGACUUUCCUUUGUCUGUCACUUCAACUAAAGGUGUUUUAUUAUUAUUAUUGUUACUAAGUCUUUGUAAAUAGACUGAUUUUUUUUCCUUUCUUUUUGUUAAUUUAGCGGUGAAUGAAAUGAGUCAUUUGUGAUCUUAUCUAUGCUGCUUCAUUUUCAAAUGAUAAUAUUUUUUUCACAAUUUGAGGAUAAAAUA